UCCAGACUCCUACGGGAGGCAGCAGUGGGGAAUAUUGCACAAUGGGGGAAACCCUGAUGCAGCGACGCCGCGUGAGUGAAGAAGUCCUUCGUGAUGUAAAGCUCUCUCAGCAGGGAAGAAAAUGACGGUACCUGACCAAGAAGCCCCGGCUAACUACGUGCCAGCAGCCGCGGUAAUACGUAGGGGGCAAGCGUUAUCCGGAUUUACUGGGUGUAAAGGGAGCGUAGACGGUUGCGCAAGUCUGGAGUGAAAGGCGGGGGCCCAACCCCCGGACUGCUCUGGAAACUGUGUAACUGGAGUGCAGGAGAGGUAAGUGGAAUUCCUAGUGUAGCGGUGAAAUGCGUAGAUAUUAGGAGGAACACCAGUGGCGAAGGCGGCUUACUGGACUGUAACUGACGUUGAGGCUCGAAAGCGUGGGGAGCAAACAGGAUUAGAUACCCGGGUAGU
rnacentral:rRNA from 1 species